CCUACGGGUGGCAGCAGUGAGGAAUAUUGGUCAAUGGGCGCGAGCCUGAACCAGCCAAGUAGCGUGAAGGAUGACUGCCCUACGGGUUGUAAACUUCUUUUAUAAAGGAAUAAAGUGCGGCACGUGUGCCUCCUUGUAUGUACUUUAUGAAUAAGGAUCGGCUAACUCCGUGCCAGCAGCCGCGGUAAUACGGAGGAUCCGAGCGUUAUCCGGAUUUAUUGGGUUUAACGGGAGCGUAGGUGGGUUGUUAAGUCAGGUGUGAAAGUUUGCGGCUCAACCGUAAAAUUGCAAUUGAUACUGGCAGUCUUGAGUGCAGUUGAGGUAGGCGGAAUUCAUGGUGUAGCGGUGAAAUGCUUAGAUAUCACGAAGAACUCCGAUUGCGAAGGCAACUUACUAAGCUGCAACUGACAUUGAUGCUCGAAAGUGUGGGUAUCAAACAGGAUUAGAUACCCGGGUAGUC
rnacentral:rRNA from 1 species